rnacentral:ncRNA from 2 species
UUAUCUUCGUCCUGUUCAGGUGUUCGUGCGAACAUAAUAGGGAACCCCGUGGGAAUCGGGGACGGGCCCGCCGCUGUGAACGGGGACGAACGCUGCACGGAAGUCACUGACGCCAAUGUCGGGAAGACGCAGCCAGUAGGAUGAACCGCAAGUCAGAAGACCUGCCUGGACAUUGAGGAGACG